GGGCUUGUGGUUUAGUGGUAUAAUACUCCCUUAGCACGUGGCGACCCUUGCUUUCUUGCUCGGGCCCGUCGUUUUAAGCGUGGGAGUGGUCCGGGGUUCGAUUCCCCGCGAGUCCA